AAAUGCCGCCUCCCCAAAUCCUGGUGCCCUAGGCGACCACCUAGGGACGCCUAAUGGAACCGCCGGCCCUGCUCAUCUGCAUACUUUUAUAC